UACGGGGGGGGCAAGCGUUGUUCGGAAUUACUGGGCGUAAAGAGCUCGUAGGCGGUUUGUCGCGUCUGGUGUGAAAAUCCAGGGCUUAACCCUGGACCUGCAUCGGGUACGGGCAGACUAGAGUGCGGUAGGGGAGAUCGGAAUUCCUGGUGUAGCGGUGAAAUGCGCAGAUAUCAGGAGGAACACCGGUGGCGAAGGCGGAUCUCUGGGCCGUAACUGACGCUGAGGGGCGAAAGCAUGGGGAGCGAACAGG
rnacentral:rRNA from 1 species